CGGGUAGUAUCCCUAGGGGAACUGCACCUUUUUCCUGACAAAUAAAAUAUUUUGCCGCUUGGAGCCGAAGGGACCGAGACGGGGGG
rnacentral:ncRNA from 1 species